GAUGAACGCUAGCGAUAGGCUUAACACAUGCAAGUCGAAGGGCAACAUGAUCUUAGCUUGCUAAGCUUGAUGGCGACUGGCGCACGGGUGCGUAACGCGUAUGCAACUUGCCUCUCAGAAGGGGAUAACCCGUUGAAAGACGGACUAAUACCGCGUACAUUCCAUCUUUGGCAGCUAAGGAAGAUGAAAGGGAAAUCGCUGUGAGAUGGGCAUGCGUCUCAUUAGCUGGUGGGUGAGGUAACGGCCCACCAAGGCGACGAUGAGUAGGGGUACUGAGAGGUAGAUCCCCCACAUUGGAACUGGGACACGGACCACACUACUACGGGAGGCAGCAGUGGGGGAUAUUGAUCAAUGGGCGAGAGCCUGAACCAGCCAAGUCGCGUGAAGGAUGACUGUCUUAUGGAUUGUAACCUUCUUUUAUACGGGAAUAACAAGAGUCACGUGUGACGCACUGCAGGUACCGUAUGAAUAAGCACCGGCUAACUCCGUG
rnacentral:rRNA from 1 species